rnacentral:lncRNA from 1 species
UGGGAGGUAGUUCACACAUCCAUUCAGCCACGCAGACUUCACAACUAGCAUGGAUAACCGGAGCACCCAGUCCCCAUCGUGAAAGUGGCAGCAUUAGCGUUAAAUCCGCACCAAACCAGCACGAGUAAGUUCCAGCCUCACCUCCACGAACAUCGGAAGGUCCGUGUACAACGCGGCACCCUGCGGAGGUGCCACAGCAUUUGGCGCCCAGCCGCUGAGCACCAGUAGGCUGCUGUACUCGUCACCGCCCUCGUCCCCGUUACCGUCAUCCACGAGCUGACUGCCGCCCAGUAGCAGCGUGUCUGGCAGCAGCCAACGGACGCUCUCAAACACCACGCCCAACCCUGCAACAGGCCAGGACCAAGAAGCGACGUACAUUAAGCGCCAUAAAGCCAUGAUGCAAAGGCUACCCGUCAGUCACGUUGUUCGCUCCGCAGUAUGCACGUGCAAAUGUGUGAGAAAACGGAUUUACUAGGCCCUACCCAAGGCGAGUCAGCUGCAAGUGUUACAGCCAUCAGCCGGCAGUUCAGCCCCAUCACGGAUGUGCGCUGAGAGCUAAUCAUAGAGCCCUAGCAAGGUUGGUUAGGUGUUGGAAUAUGUGUCCUGCAAGACGGGAUCAUAAACUACACGACCUGUAAUCCGCGGCACUUGCACACCGAGGCACCACUGAAAGACAUUCGCACCUUGCGGGUGCUCCAACGGAAGGCAUGCAAGCUGGCGUACGGCAAGUGGCGAUCCGGAACUUCCGGACACCACCGCCGAAAUGGCGAGCUGCCCUCCGGUGCUGUAAGCCAAAGCUAAACUGCCCAACGUGUCGCCAUCCGCUGCAGGACACCAGUCCGCACCCUCAACCCCGGACGAAGCCACCACCACAAAGCUAUCGGCGUCGCCAUAGCGCCCAACACGCAGUGACCGGUCAGCGUCCACGACAAGGAACACGCCAGGGCCACUGCCGCUGCCCGCGCGAUGUUCCACUGCCUUGCACCAGGAGAACUGCUUAAUGCCGCCGAGCUGAAAGGACCAGUGUGGGCCAGAUGUGUCCGGCAGCCGCAUGUCAGCCAGGCAAAAGAAGCUCACGCUGCCUGCCGGUCCGUCAACUGCUGCCAGCACAGAUUCAUCUGUCGACAGUGCCAGCUGCGUGAUUCCCCCCAGCGGCUUGUGCCAGAGGCAAACGUCUGCCGGCCGGGGGGUCACAUAGCUCUCACUGGCAACCUUUGUACAAAGCCUGGGUAGGAGGUCGUCUGUCCGAACCGCGUACACGCCUGUGGCAACAGGUACGACGCAUGUGAGGAGCAGGCGUCAUAGUAUCCGUAACGUAUAUGUUACAUGUUGUGCUGACCGUUGCCCAGCAAAAUGUGUUCCCCCCCGUAAAGGAGUCAUGGCGUGGCGGCGUGCCACACCGCUCGCCCACUUUAAUCCUUCCCAAGCAUCCACAGUAAAUUAUGGGUGGAAACUGCCACAAUCACGAGUGUAGGGCCCUUUCCCCCACCUGAAAGGUCACUGAAGAAAACGAGCCCGUGCUUGCUGCUGGCCGUCACCAUGGACGUGGCACCCGGUGCUUCGAGCGCCGAUGACAAGUUCGCAAAGGUAAUGCCGCCAAUAUACUUGAAAUAGAACCCCACAUCUUCCGCCUGGUCCAGCUCUGCCACCGUAGGCUGCAGCUGCACUGACGCGGCGGUUCCCGCUUUCCCGCUGCGGCCUGUGUCUGGCAUUGUCGUGCUGACAACCGUGCCACCAUUCGCCGCAGGGGCGGACUCGAUGACAGCAGCAGCCAUGGCGCCGCCGAGUUGGCUACCUGCGGAACCAACCUGGGCUGCCUUGUUGCCUGGAGGCUGUAUAUUGCUAGCCGCUGCAGCUCCAGAAGCUGCUCCGGUUACAUGCGGGGCACCCAAUUCGUUACCCCCAGCAGCAGCCACGCUGGAAGGCACUCCCCCAAAAGGACCACCUCCUGGACUAGGAGUAGGGCUAAAAAUUCCGCUGGAAGAUGCUGCAGCUGCGCUGCUGGUGGACGCCGCCGCAGAGGGAACCCCGAUACCGAAACCGAAUACCGGUUGUUGGGCCGAUGGGAAGGAACUGGAGCCUGCGGGAGCACUUCCAGACCCACCUGUCGGCAAACCCGUCGUUACCGCACUGCCCCAGGGGCUCGGCGGGGCAGCGGGUGUGCUGCUGGACGUUGGCAAGGCCGCAGCAAACCCGCUGCCGAAACAGAAGUCGCCGGUCGGCAUGCUGGGGGGCGUAGGUGCACUUGCGCCAAAACGACUGGCGGUUGUGGGCGGAUUGGACGUGCUCGCACCAAACAUGGAGAAUCCUGCUCCAAAGCCACCGAAGGUGCUACCCAACGUUAGGCCGGACGGCUUUGAAGAAGCUGCCGAGCCAAACAUCCCACCGCCGAAGGCGUCACAGGCCGCAGGGAAGGUCACGGUUGACGGCUGGGCCGUUUUUUCCCCGACGGCAGAAGGUGGACCAGAAACUGGCUGGGUUUGCGACCUCGGUACGACACCUGCACAAGGGUACCAAUCAUCAGUACCCAGCGGGAUGACGGCAAUCAGAUGCACUGCACCUUUCCAUAACAUGAAUAGAGAAUUCAACCAUCACCUGUAAUAAACUUUUGCGUAGUAAGGGAAGAUGACUUUUUACCACUAUCUUUGAUGAGCUGUGUGGCCCCACUCAUUGACCAUACAACUCCCUUUCCCCACCAGGAAGACACAUUGCAGCCAACGGUACUGCAUGGAUUGGUGUACAAACCGCAUUCGCCUUGGUGGGCAGCGUUUGGGUCUGCUGGAACACCCUGCACGAGCGUCCCUACAAAUAGCCCCGCCAGCGCGACGCCUCCACGAGUACUUCACCUGGGGAAGUCACCUCCUCGCCGCUCUCGGAGUCGCUUGCGAUACCUGCAGCCGCUGCGGCCCGGCGCCGCUCCUGUGCGUCGUCGUCCUCAUCCUCCAGCAGACCGUCAUCACUCCCAGAAUCCGGCAAUGCAACGCGUGAUGCCAGGUCCUCCGCGGCUGUUACACUUUCGGCAUUCAGCUGCACCAAACCAGUAUCGGACGCACCAGCAGACGGCAGGCUACCAGCUGGGACCUGCGACGGCACAAAACCAGAGCAGCAGAAGCAGAGUCUAACACCUCGCUAUAACAUCAGCUCACACCCUAGAUUGCCUUCGCUUCUGUCCGUUGCCUUUCGCAAUAUCGCGCCCCCCAUCGCACCCUUUUAUGUGCGAAAUGGUGUUGUGGCUUCAUGGAUUUUGCUUCAUGCAAAUCGAAACUGUAAGGAAGCCAAACUCAUUGUCGUAUACAUAACCAAGCCUCGACGUACGACAUGGAUCGACGUACGACAAAAGGGGCAAAGGCCAACAACGAAUGCAUCUUCCUUGUUAUUACAGUAGCCCGCUGUUGUUAUUACAGCGGGCUACCAAGUUUCCAUACCGUACGGCAAAGAAACCGAGCCAAAGUGCACAUCACCUGCCGGAAAGGAAGGACAAGUGGCCCGCACCGGCACGCACAACACCUCAGCAAGCCCGGCCACGACUAAGACCGGACCAGCACUGAUGCCAACAGGAGGAUUUUGCCAAGAUGGCUCCCCUAUGAAUGACAAGCUCACGCCUACAAAUAUCGGCGUACUAGUGCUGCCUUGAAGUGUAGAAGUGCGGCCAAAUACACGUGGGACCGCCUUCCUACCAAGCUGUGUCUGAAGGAUCACCCAGGGGUGGAAUCACGGAUCACCUUCGUCUGUGAGCUCAUCCAUGCAAAGCAAAUGUCCUCUAUGUGUUCCAACCACGCUUAGUUCGGCCUAAUGAAGUAAAAGGACUUAACCGCACCCUAAAGUCAACAAUCACUCUGUGGAUGGCCCGGUUAAUGAUUUAGGCAUAAUGUGUAUUUUCCCGCCUGUGUGCUGUCGCUUGCGCGAACCGACGCCCCGUCUUCAUCGCACUGACUGCCGCCAGGACCACUAAAUCCCAAACACAUUGCUGUGUUCCACUGGAGGCUGCAUUAGCUAUAUUUCGGCUCGGGAUAUUGGGUGUCCCAAUCUCUCUGGUGGUGGCAUCUAACCAAAGAAGCGCACCAAAGACGUGCACGCGGACCGUGCGCCAUAUGCAAUCUCCUUAACAUCCAUGACCCUUUAUCACCAACAUAUCAAUUGAUUUUCACACUGUCAAACCCCUUGGUGCUGCAGAGCUGGGUUCGGCAGCUACCGGCUUACCGGUCCUGGAUGCGAGGCGGCUCCAGACGGCGCCAUGGAUAUGGCGGCAGGGGAAGACGUGUCUGACAUCCUGGUCUCGGAGCCCCCGGGCUUCCAUGCGGUUGCAGGAUCAUCGUCCCCGAGUAAGUCAUCAUCCUACAGGAUAUCCAAAUGGCAACAACCAUCAGCUACCAAAGGCACAAGAGCUCGACAAUUGGUACCUAAUGAACGCAAAGUAAGGAAGGGCAAAGUAAGGAAGACUUCCAUCACCGGUCCCCUCAAUAGUCACUCUUAUCAGAGCUAGGGGUAUAUACGGAUAAGCGCUUACACCAUCACUUGGCAGGGCUGCCUUGGCAGCUGCGUCCGUCAUGUCGAGUAGAGAUAAAGAGGGCGGCGUGCCACUCGUGGCUACGUCAACCGACCGCUGCGUGACAGCCCACUCGGGCUGCUGUGUCGGCAGCGGCACGGCUGCAUCAGCGCGGGGUCGCAGCGGCGUGGUGAGCUCCACGUGACCGAAUCCGUACACGCGCAGCACGCCGUCCGAAGUCAAGAUGAGCAGCACGGGCGGAGGCACCAGGGGAGGCUUCUCCGCGCUGAGCGGGUUGGGCAGGGGAUCCUGGAGCGAUGGACAACAGGGCAAGGUAGGGUUCAGAGGUUAUGUGCAAACAAGAGGACGGGCAAUCCACGUGGCCGGGUAAAGUCCGAUCGCAAUCACAUGGAGCAUGAACCGAGCAGGCGAUGAACAAUGGGCACCAUUAAGAGACUGCUUUAUAUCCGGCUCACCAGGGGCAUGCUGGUGUCCAAGCCCAAACCUAGCACGUAGUUGCUGCCGCCGUCAGGGCCGUUGGGCAGCCGGAUCAUCAUGGGCUCCUCCGUCACAGCAACCGCCUGAGUACGAGGGUGUUCAAGGAUGGAAGCCUGGUCCUUACACGGCACUGUGAAACCAAAGGAUUUGCGAACCCAAUACUCUGCGAACACUGUGGGUGCAUCCAUCCCUGCCUUCUCGCUUGCACGACCAGACCCGCUCACCAUCCCGCCGCACCUGCGGACUUCCUCCAGACCCGAAUUCCCCCUCAGCAGUUCGCAUCAGUCGUACGUGGUCGUCCACUGCCUUGCGGUGGCAGCGAACAAGUGCACCCCAGCGAGGAACCGCUACAGCAUGCAGGUAAGGGCCGGACAGACGCGGAGUGCUGUCCUCCUGGAGGGAAGAGACCCGCGGGUCGGGGCGCGGAAGGAGGAGUGUGAGGGCGACGUACCCGAAAGCAAAACCCGGUGGGAGUGCUGGGAGGUAGUUCACACAUCCAUUCAGCCACGCAGACUUCACAACUAGCAUGGAUAACCGGAGCACCCAGUCCCCAUCGUGAAAGUGACAGCAUUAGCGUUAAAUCCGCACUAAACCAGCACGACGAGUAAGUUCCAGCCUCACCUCCACGAACAUCGGAAGGUCCGUGUGCAACGCGGCACCUUGCGGAGGUGCCACAGCAUUUGGCGCCCAGCCGCUGAGCACCAGUAGGCUGCUGUACUCGUCACCGC